UACUUUGGUGGAACAAACUUUGGUCGGACUUCCGGCAGACCGUUCUAUAUUACUAGUUAUGAUUAUGAUGCUCCAAUUGAUGAAUAUGGCUUACUGAGUGAGCCUAAAUGGGGACAUCUAAAGGAUCUGCAUGCUGCUAUAAAGCUCUGUGAACCUUCUCUGGUUGCUGCUGAUUCACCCCAGUAUAUUAAAUUAGGACCAAAGCAAGAGCUUAGGAAUACAAGAACUGGGGCAACCAUAACAGCAAGGAUUGUGGAUCGGUGCAGCAAUGGGGGCUUAGAUUUGGACUUUAACACUAUAUUUAAGCCAUUAGACACCGAUGUAAUUGGAUAUCAACAGGGUUCUCUCCAAGUGGGCUACACAUUUGUCAAUUGUGGGGAUUAGUGAUGAUGAUCGAUUCAGCAGUACCAUUCUCGAAGAUAUAAAUCUCUUGGGAUGUAAUUAAUAACAAUAUAUACCAAAAACAUUCUGCUUAUAUAUGAAUAUAUAUAUAUAUAUAUAUAUAAAGCUGAUAUAUGGCUUAGUUAAGCUUAAAGUUAAAAGAGACUUAAUAAAACUUUUGGGAAGUUUGUUCCAAAGGGUAUAUCCUCAGCACUUCUGAAAUGUUCUUCUUGAGAACAUAAUAAAAUUUGUACCAUGUUGUAUGCUUCUGUUUUUAUCCAAUAUUUACAGGAGGAU